CAAGUCGAGUGCGCGUCUGUGGCAAUACAGAUGGCGCACGGCGCACGGGUGCGUAACACGUGGGCAAUCUGCCCUUCGAUGGGGAAUAACUCCGGGAAACCGAAGCUAAUUCCGCAUAACAUUCCUUGGACUUCGGUUCGAGGAUUCAAAGCCGUAAGGCGUCGAAGGAGGAGCCCGCGCCCGAUUAGCUAGUUGGUGAGGUAACGGCUCACCAAGGCAAUGAUCGGUAGCUGGUCUGAGAGGAUGGCCAGCCACACUGGAACUGAGACACGGUCCAGACUCCUACGGGAGGCAGCAGUGGGGAAUCUUGCGCAAUGGGCGAAAGCCUGACGCAGCGACGCCGCGUGGGGGAUGAAGCAUUUCGGUGUGUAAACCCCUUUCGACUGGGACGAAUGCCUCGCAAGAGGAGUGACGGUACCAGUAGAAGAAGCCCCGGCUAACUACGUGCCAGCAGCCGCGGUAAGACGUAGGGGGCCAGCGUUGUUCGGAAUUACUGGGUGUAAAGGGUUCGUAGGCGGUGUGGCAAGUCGGGAGUGAAAUCUAUGGGCUUAACUCAUAGGCUGCUUCCGAAACUGCUGUGCUUGAGUGUGGGAGAGGCGCGUGGAAUUGCAGGUGUAGCGGUGAAAUGCGUAGAUAUCUGCAGGAACACCCGUGGCGAAAGCGGCGCGCUGGACCACAACUGACGCUGAGGAACGAAAGCUAGGGGAGCAAACAGGAUUAGAUACCCUGGUAGUCCUAGCCCUAAACGAUCAGGACUUGGGGUGCCACCCGUUCGGGUGUCGUCCCGGAGCUAACGCGUUAAGUCCUGCACCUGGGGAGUACGGUCGCAAGACUGAAACUCAAAGGAAUUGA
rnacentral:rRNA from 1 species